rnacentral:lncRNA from 1 species
GGACAUGGACAUGGCAGUGGCGAUGUGCUGCUCCCUCAGUACCAAGUUAAACGUAUUAGUAAACUAACAUGGAACCGACAGAGUGACAGGACAGACGUUCCCAACCUGUGCUUCUUACUUUGGGUAACAUCUUUGCUUUCAUGGGAAAUGACAUUUUCUCCGGAAACAGUAAGAAUGCUAUUAGCCUGCUUGCAAGGCACAGUUGCUCCAGCAGUUGAGAGCGGGCCAGAGGUCCAGGACAGUCUGUGGAUGUUCAUUAAGAGGUGGUGAAAAAAAGUGAAGCCAUUGUUUAUCUUUCUUUCCCCUGAGCAUUCUUCCACCAGGCUCUCUGCAGACCUGAUUCUUUGCUGCCUCCAGCCGAACACUCUUAUUAUUUUCCUUAAACUUCUGUUUAUGCCGUUACCUGUAUUUUUGCAGCAAAUUUUAUCUGCUAGGUAGAGUGAAAAGGCCUGCUGUAAUAGAUACUGUCGCUUUUGUUUUUGUCCUCCCUCCAAAUCAUAGAGUUGGAUUUCAUCACUUGUAACAAACCUCAGCAGCCUCUUCGGGUUUUGUUUGGGGCUGCUUGCUUUGUUUCCUGAUUUACUGGGUUUUGUCUUCACUGGCUUAAUGCUCACAAGCACAGAACAGACAGGCAAACCAAAUAAGCAAAAAUUUAACUAGGGUACUGCAGCCUGUGAACUGACAAACCCACUCUGUGUGACAGCGCUGACUAGAAGUGGGUGUUUUUGCAGCUAAGUGCACAAUAAUCUAUUUGCACUGGUCACAGGCGGUUGCUGGGCAAGGGAAGUUUGCAUAUCUCCAGUGUUAGAUAUGUGCAGCUGGAGGACGGAUGGUGGAUUCUGGUACCUCCUGACUUGGUGAAUGGUCCAUACCAAUUUCUCUUCUUUCAUAUCUGCUUUGCUUUUAAACAUGUCUCUUCCUGGAAACUGACCUCACUCGAUCGUGGGGAUUCCCGACUCUCUGUCCAGUGACCUACUUGAGAUAUAUUUGGUCCUUGAAACAGGGUGUCUAUGUGCCUCCUCCUGGGAUCUGCCUUGCCUUAAGCCAGUGGUCUCACGUUGCCUGUGACAUCUAUUUAAGGAAGGAAUGACAGUGACAGCUGUAGCACUUUAGCCAGAGGUUCUCAAACCCACAUGGCCCUAGUCUCUUGUUAAAAUGCAGGUCCUGACUGAUACUACUGGUAUGAGUUUGGAUUUAUGUAUGUUUUGCAGUCAUGGAGACAUUAUUAAUAUUGCUGGUGGGCCACACCGAAGACAUAAGACACCAGAAGGGAAGGAAGCUGGACUGUCUCACUGCAUUUAGAUAUAAAUGGAUACUACAGAAAGCAAAUCGCAUCUCGUGGCUCCUCACCCCAUAUCCAUGAAUAUCUACAAGGGCAGCACAAACCAGGCUUAGCGGGUUAUUUAAAGAAGAGGGGGACAUGAAAUUGACAAGGUGGGUUCAGGGAGAGUCAAGUGUAUAUACUUGUAUGAAAUUCUCAAUAAAAAGUAUUAUAUUUAAAGACAUCUGAGUCAUUACUGCAAGUGUUGAGAAGUGUGUGUCAUUUGUCUUCUGACUUCCUUUCUAUCAGUGUAGCCUGGCUGGCCUAGAACUCCCUUGUAGAACAGGCUAGUCUCAAACUCAGAGAUCCACCCGCCUCUGGCCCCAAGUGCUGGGAGUGAACGAUGCGCCACCACACCCAGCUCUCGGACCACUGUAGAGUUAGCUCCUUGCUGAUCUUUCCUUAAGGUGGUAACUGGCAUUGAGCUGUGUGAUUAAUGAGAACCAAGCAAAGGGCCACUGAGCCCUUUUGCUGAGUUGCCCUCAUGCCUGUCCUCUAUAGACCUGUCAGUCUGCCCUGUUUCUCAGAGCCCAUCUCUACUUUCUGUUCCUCAUUCCUGUCCUAGGUCUUACCAGCCUUCCAUAGCCGGUAUCUCAUACAACUCUGCCUUCUUGCAAUCCCCCUUCCUCUCCUUAGAAAACAUCUUCCAGUCCAGGUGUGAUCGUAUCACUCCCUGGAUCCAAAUCACUCCCUGGCUCUGUAUUAAUUACAAGGUGAAAUAUAAACUGCCUAGCCUACCAGAUGAUAGCCUUCCUUAAUCAGCCUAUGACCUCUGUGGAAAACAUCCCCUGUGCUCUCUCUUCUGGACACUAGAGCCGUCACAGAGUUUCAAAUAAGCCAGGGUCUUCUCAAACAUUCCCUCUCCACUCAUGCGAGCUGGGCCUGCAGCUCUCUGAUCACUUUGGGGGGUGGGG